UACGGAGGGGGCUAGCGUUGUUCGGAAUUACUGGGCGUAAAGCGCACGUAGGCGGCUUUGUAAGUUAGAGGUGAAAGCCCGGGGCUCAACUCCGGAAUUGCCUUUAAGACUGCAUCGCUAGAAUUGUGGAGAGGUAAGUGGAAAUUCCGAGUGUAGAGGUGAAAAUUCGUAGAUAUUCGGAAGAAACACCAGUGGCGAAGGCGACUUACUGGACACAUAUUGACGCUGAGGUGCGAAAAGCGUGGGGGAGCAAACA
rnacentral:rRNA from 1 species